CUUGAGACAGGUGGGACAUGUCAUUUCUCACAUGAGGUCCCGGCGAGAAGGACCUGCUUCCAUCAGAUUCACACUUGGGAGAGGGGCCCGGCCUCCAGGAGCGCCAGGCAGAAAGGGCACCCAUUAGGAAGAAGAACACAGAGGCCAUGGGAGUGAAAAGUUUGAUGCUGGAAAGCAACAGUAGCACAUUCUGCUACAGAGCGGAAUGAAAAACCCUGGGGAGCAAAUUCCUGAGCCAGAGAAUGGAGCGGAGGAACCAGCCAAGGAGGAUAAAGAGAAAACUACCUGCUGUCAUCAGGGGUUGGUUGGUUGAGCCUUUCCCUGUGCUUGCCUGGCAGACCUGCGUGCUCUGAGGCUGCCCGACCCUGAGCUCCAGAACAGACCAUCGAGUUCAGGAGACAAGCAUGUCAGCCAUGACACAAGGCAGAUGAGAGGGACCCCCAGCGUCCACACGUGGAGGCAGCGGGGGCAGCCGAUCCAUACAAACAGGCUGACCAUCAGGGCUGGUCCCAGGCCACCAGGCUGGGUGCAAUGCAGAAAUGGAGAUCUGCCCCGGGGAAGGCAGGUGAGUGUAGGAAGGAGGGAGGGCUGCGAGAAGCUGGGGGCAGCCUCCAUCCCCCUGUGGCCUGGGUGGGCCUGUGCCCCCCCAACCCCCCGACGCAGCUUCCCACACUGGGAGCACAGUUCCUCCCUCCUCUGCCUUCCUCUGCGUGGUGUGGCUCCUCCUUGAGGGAGAGAGCUGAGGAGGUGGCAUUCUUGCUUCCCUGACUCACCCAAAGGAAGAUUUCACAGCCCCUGGCAAGGGCUGCCAGACAGGCUCACCUGUCACCCCCUGUCCAGGGACAGACUGACCGGUAGCCUUGGCUGGGUGGGGAGUUAUGCUGGGAAGUCUUCCAGGCCCCCUGGGGGUGGGAAGAUGCUCAAUGUUCAAAGGAGAUGGAACGAGGAAAACAGUUAAGCAACGAUGGACUCCAGGGGGAAAACCGGAGAAGAAGAAACUGUAAUUCCAGUCCGUCCACAUGGCCCAGCAGUGAACGACAAUUGCAUGGUCAGAGAGAGCAAAAGCACCACGCCGACUGAAAGCAGCUCGAAUGUGGUGGGGCAGUGGGAGAUAAUGCCCUCAUCUACCAAAACAAGAUCUGCCACCUUCGCAGACCACUAAACCUCAUUCCUCCACCCACCUCCCCACCCCCAUGAAGGCCAACUGACCAGAGAGCAGGGCUCCCGAGGGUCGGGUCGGGUCGGGUCGGGUUGGGUCGGGUGGGUGCCUCUUAC
rnacentral:lncRNA from 1 species